AAAUUCUGACACUCUACAUAGUAGACAUUUGGAAUAACAUCAUACAGUGAAGCUGAGUAUUUGACUAAACACCUUAGAACCGCAGCCAGCCCUCUCACCGCGCAGCCUGGAGGGAAAGGGGGCUCAGCCCACAGGCCUGACACAGCCCGAGAUCGCCCGCGGGCGUUUCAAACUCCUGACGCCCAGGUUGCCCAGACCGUCAGAAUCUCUGCAGACCGACCCGGGCGACCGUCUUUACUGAAAUUUCCAGGCGAUUCUGUGAAAUCAGGGCUGAGAAAUACCAGCUUAGAUCGAGACACAGGUCUUAAGAUACAAACACACCUGGAGAGGAAAAGAAGCAGACCAGCGACAGACGCCGCGCCAGGCUGUUUGCUUGUUUAAACGUGGAGUUUCGCGUGAUGGCCGAGCGCCCGGGUCAGCACUCUUCGCGGAAGAGCACAUGCUGUUUUGUCUCAAUGAGCAGGAAAAUGUUGUGUGAUAAAAUGUGGUAAAAGCUUACAGUUUUUUCCAACUAAGCAGUAAAAGGAAUUACACGACGUAAAAUGAUAAAUAAAAAACUCUAUGAGUCAUCUUCAAUGCAGGGAAAAUGUGCCGCCAGGACAGAAACAACGUUCUUCUGCUUGUUCAAAAUAAAAUCUAAUGCACUGAAACAGAAAUCAAUACGAGCAUGUCCUAGAAGCUCAAACAACCGCGGGGCUCGAAGGGGUUCAAUGCAGUUCAUGCUUUUCAAAUAAAUGUAUUGAAAUGAUG
rnacentral:lncRNA from 1 species